rnacentral:lncRNA from 1 species
UCCUAGGAAUGGGGCAGUGUCUUCAGAGGAUUUCUGGUCCUCGGUAUUCUCACCAGCAGGGAAUACCUCUAUGUCCACACAGUCCUUCACUGUGUCCUCUGUGUGUUGUUCUUUCUCAGUAUUGUGCAAGAUUUCUCUUUUCCCCACAUUCGCCACGAUUUCAUUUUUCACCUCCACUUCACUGGCUCUUCCUAAAAGACCAUUGAGAAAAUUGAAGGGACCCCAUGAUGUGGCGGCCACAUAAUCUACAUUAGAAUGUAAACACACGUUCCAAAUCC